rnacentral:rRNA from 1 species
AGUAACACGUGAGCAAUCUGCCCCUGACUCUGGGAUAACUUCGAGAAAUCGAUGCUAAUACCGGAUACGACCCUUCCAGGCAUCUGGUGAGGGUGGAAAGAACUUUGGUCAGGGAUGAGCUCGCGGCCUAUCAGCUAGUUGGUGAGGUAAUGGCUCACCAAGGCGACGACGGGUAGCCGGCCUGAGAGGGUGACCGGCCACACUGGGACUGAGACACGGCCCAGACUCC